AACGAACGCUGGCGGCAUGCCUAACACAUGCAAGUCGAACGAGACCUUCGGGUCUAGUGGCGCACGGGUGCGUAACGCGUGGGAAUCUGCCCUUGGGUUCGGAAUAACAGUUAGAAAUGACUGCUAAUACCGGAUAAUGUCUUCGGACCAAAGAUUUAUCGCCCAGGGAUGAGCCCGCGUAGGAUUAGCUAGUUGGUGAGGUAAAGGCUCACCAAGGCGACGAUCCUUAGCUGGUCUGAGAGGAUGAUCAGCCACACUGGGACUGAGACACGGCCCAGACUCCUACGGGAGGCAGCAGUGGGGAAUAUUGGACAAUGGGCGAAAGCCUGAUCCAGCAAUGCCGCGUGAGUGAUGAAGGCCUUAGGGUUGUAAAGCUCUUUUACCCGGGAUGAUAAUGACAGUACCGGGAGAAUAAGCCCCGGCUAACUCCCGGUAGCCAGCAGCCGCGGUAAU
rnacentral:rRNA from 1 species